rnacentral:rRNA from 1 species
UGCGGAAGGAUCAUUAUCGUACUACAGAGGCGUGAGGGCUGUCGCUGACCUUUCCAAAAGGUCGUGCACGCCCGAGCGUUCUCAUCUACAAUCCACCUCACCCCUUGUGCAUCACCGCGCGGGGCCCCUCCCUCUUCAGGGGAGAAGGCUCGCGUUUUUCACACAAACGUCCUUAUAGUUUAGAAUGUCAUUCAUUUGCGAUCACACGCAAUCCAAUACAACUUUCAACAACGGAUCUCUUGGCUCUCGCAUCGAUGAAGAACGCAGCGAAAUGCGAUACGUAAUGUGAAUUGCAGAAUUCAGUGAAUCAUCGAAUCUUUGAACGCACCUUGCGCCCCUUGGCAUUCCGAGGGGCACACCCGUUUGAGUGUCGUGAAAUUCUCAAACCUUCUUGGUUUCUUGACCAAGAUGGCUUUGGACUUUGGAGGUGUUUUGCUGGCUUUGCAAAAAGCCAGCUCCUCUUAAAUGCAUUAGUGGGGUCCCCUUUGCCGAUCCCCAGGCGUGAUAAGAUGUUUCUACGUCUGGGAUUUGCUCUGUUUCCUUGGGAACCCGCUUCCAACCGUCUCAUGGGAGACAUCGUUCGAGCUUGCUCGACCCRCGAACCUUGACCUCAAAUCGGGUGAGACUACCCGCUGAACUUAA